rnacentral:lncRNA from 1 species
ACGGUGGAGGACUCGGUGGUGGUGCCGGUGGCGGGUAUGGCAAUGGUGGUGGUCUCGGAAAUGGCGGCGGGCUCGGAGGCGGCAUCAGCCAUGGACUCGGUGGUGGCAUCGGAAAGGGUGGGGGUCUCGGUGGCGGCUUUGGCAAAGGUGCUGGACUAGGCGGCGGCUUUGGCGGUGGAGGCGGCGGAGGUGGUGGUGGCGGUGGUGGCGGCGGAGGCUUUGGCAAGGGAGGUGGGUUUGGUUUCGGGAUCGGCAAAGGUGGCGGUGGCGGGAUCGGCGGCGGCCACUGAUGUUGUAGUAUGUACGUUUGGCUCAGCUCUGUUCUGCUGAGCGCCGUUGGUCAUCAUAGUAUUCUGUCGAUGUGAGCAGUACGUGUGAUGAAAGAGAUUUUCCCUUGUAGAAACUCACCCCCAGCAUUUUCGUGUGUCUCGUUCUGCUCUCUGUGGGAGAGAUAUUCUCGCGCAUGUACGUUGGUGAUGGUAAUAUAUGAGUAUCUUGCAUUACUUGGUCCAUGCCAGUGUUUGUUCCAGUGAUUUGAAAUAUAAAUUAGGUACAAGUAAAUACGAAGUGUUCAAACUUCAGAAGCUACCUUCAAGUGUUCAAAGUUCAGGAUGUUCAAAACAGAGCAAGCAUAGCAAAGCAGAGGAACGACAUGCAACGCAAAAGCUUUCGGCAGCUGCUCAACCGGCUGACGGCCUAAGAUCUUUGCUCACUCAGUGUCCAGACUCCAGAACUCCAGAUUAUGUGUAGUUUGCGCCUAAGAGUGCUCAACAUGUAAACAGUGUUUAAUCACUGUAAACCAAACUUGGGCACGUGUUCUUCGGCAUAAAGUGCAGUGCGAGGGUGGAUGGGCGGCAAAGCUAUGGAAAAUCUGUACUUUACUGCAUCGUUCUGCCCGUCUCUUUGCGUUCUUAUUUCUUUUCUGUUGUAGUGCAGCAUGUAUCUUGUACCAGUAACUGUUUCGGGUUGCUGACUAGCUGGUGUUUGAAUUUGGUCCUUCUUGAGUAGGUCAUUUUGAAGACCGAACUUCAUUGAAGUCUUUAUUUUGAAACAUUUGAAAUUCAAAAUUUUCAGUUUCAAAUAAUAAAAGUAAAUACACAUGUAUGCAAGGAUGUAAUGUGUAUGUGUGAAAUUUUUUAGGAUGAAAUACCUUGAAUUGCGAGCUGCAAAAAAAAAUUCAUAAACUUUAAGGAUGAACAGUACGUAUGCUAAAAAGCCUCAGAUUUGUCCUUUUUGUGUAGUUCUCAUUUUAAUGAAUUCUGACCUGAAACAGAUGAUUUUCUUUUAGAAUUUUUUGAAAUGCAAAGUUUGAAUUUUGAACAUUUCAAAUUAAGGCCUCCAUGAAGCUCGGUCUCCGUUUGGCAUUUUUUGCUUCUGCUUGUGUUUUUUCUUUAAUAGUAUAAAAAUAUACACGCGAUCCUGAUACUUUAGACCCGCGGUGAUUAUAUGGUUACGGUUCACCUAUAGCUAACACUAAAAAAAAGGUAAUACGUGGCACUCAAUUAACUUGUCAAACCGUCCACAUGAUGGUGCCUGCCAAUAAGAAAAAUAAUAAUAAUGGAAAUAUACAAUUUUAACACAGUACAGAUGCAGACGCUCAUACAUACACACAUACAGUCAUCCCUAUGAACAUAUGCACACAUACCCUACGCCUAUGAGCACCUCCAAGAGAUUGAGUCGGCACAUUAUCUUCAGACAGUGGCGAAGCCACACUUGGGCUGGGUAGUCAAAUGACUACCCAACUUUUUGCAAAAACUACAUGCAUCAAGUAGAAAUCAUGCCAAAAAAUCUUAUAAAUGCAUAUAUCUGACUACACAACAUUCAAUUGACUACACACGGUUGGAUUCCUGGCACCGCCACUGUCUUCAGAUUGAUGAAGUCGUCACAAACAUCUUCGUAGUCGAUUCGAAUGUCUCCUCCCACUGAACGCAUAUCGCAAGAAGGCCUGAAAUAAAUCUAGGACACUGUGAGCAGCAAUGUCAAGUCUAGGACUUGAACUAUAUGGACUGGGAUACUACUUACCACCUAACCAUUCGACCACUUGUUGGUUCGCAAGAAAUACAAUUUUACACCGGUGAGGAAAGACAUAUUAUAUAUACUCUCGACACUAAUUUUUACUAGUAGAAUGCCCGUGCGUUGCUAUGGGCUGCAAUGCUUUUAGGAAUCAUCUCUGGUCUGAACUCCUAAUCUAAUUAUGCCCCUCAAUCUAGUAUGUUACACCUAUUGCUUUUUUAAAUGUACUUUUUUGUUAUUUUGGUUGUUGGUAUACCAUGAAGAAAGUUUGAGCUACAAAAUAAAAUUCACUACCCGGACAUGCAAGACAUUGGUAUAAAGAAUGAUUGUUUACAUAAUUUUUGGCUGACACACAUAUCCAUUUAAAAAAAUAACAAUAUUUAUAUAUAAAAAAUCCGAGAGUUUGUACAAUUCGUGAAUGUAUGCGGUUAGCAUGUAAUCGUAAAAAAAGGUCUAUAGGAAGCUCGCUUUGGGCUGUCAGGGUGGUGGCAGCUGGGUUGAUCCAUCUAUGCUCAUUCGUCCGUCUGCUACAACACUCGUCUCAUGACGUAAAUCAUGCAUGGACAUGAAGAUGAUGGUAUGAGGGACAUCGAUCAUGUGAAGACUCUUCCUGUAACUGCCACUGGACCAGACCGACCCUGAGGCGCGCUCCUUGGGCACCUCCACUUAGGACGCACGGCGGCGACCGGAUCAACCCUGCGGCGUGUCGUUAUUACAAAGGAUGUCAGCCCAGCAGUGCAAUAUGCUGCAGAUCAUCAUUGAGGGGGAGGGGUUCGUAAGGAGGACGAUCUUUUUUUCUCUCUAAUUUUUGGGUUUUGCGAAGCAAGGGAGGUGGAUUUUCUUGUGCGUAUGAGGAGGUGGUGGUGGANNNNNNNNNNNNNNNNNNNNNNNNNNNNNNNNNNNNNNNNNNNNNNNNNNNNNNNNNNNNNNNNNNNNNNNNNNNNNNNNNNNNNNNNNNNNNNNNNNNNNNNNNNNNNNNNNNNNNNNNNNNNNNNNNNNNNNNNNNNNNNNNNNNNNNNNNNNNNNCCAUGUAUAGUACCCCAUGUUCAAUUUAAUAGUAGAGACAUGGCUGCAAAAACUUCCUAUUAAUAGUUAUGUGCAUCCCUAAUUUAGUAUCUGACUAAUUAAUUAAUUUCAUUAGCAACUCGAUUCUAAAAUUAAUUUGUCACAAAAAAUACCUACAUAAAUGGACUUAAUUAAUUACAUACGUAAAUAAUUAUCUAGCUAAUUAAUUGCAUUAUGACUUGAUUCCCAAACUGAUUUAGUGAUUGGUUUCCAAAUUAUUAUUUUUUCUUUUUGCUUGAGGCAUGGGAGGUGGCUUUUCUUGUACCUGUGCGGAGGCGGGAGCGGAUGGGUUUUUUCGUAAGGGGGUCUAGGGUUUAAUAGUAAUGACAAAUUUGAAAAAACUUCCUACUAUUAAUUAUCUGCAUCCCUAAUUAUAUGUCUAGUUAAUUAUCUAAUUACAUUAAUGGCUUGAUUUCCUACUUAAUUUCGUGAAAAAGUCCAUGCAUAAACAUACAUAAUUAAUUGCAUGCGUAAUUAAUUGCAUUAAUGGCUUGAUUUCCAAAUUGAUUCGGUGCUUGGUUUCCAAAUGGUUUUGCAUUAUUGACUAGUGAUACCUUUCAUAAUUAAUGUGAUCCUCCCAUUUAAGGCUCGAUAAUACUUUCUAUAGUUAAUGUGAUACUCAUGUCCAAAGAACAAUACUCUUCAUAAUUAAUGUGAUCCUUCCGUUCACCGCUCGAUGAUACUUUUUAUAAUUACCGUGAUUCUCCUCUCCAAAUAAUAAUACUCUUUAUAAUUAAAGUGAUCCUACUUUCAAACGCUUGUUAAUAUUUUCCAUAAUUAACAUGAUCCUCUUGUCAAAUGAUACUCUUCAUAAUUAAUGUGAUCUUUCUGUCCAAAGAAUGAUACUUUUCAUAUUAGUAUGAUCCUCCCGUCCAAAGCUCGAUUAUACUUUCCAAAUUAAAUAGGCAUAUUAACUGUCUGCCUAAUUAACACACAUAAUUAACCGGUCUGGCUAAUUUUUUUUGAUAGAAAGACUGUAAGGGAACCCCUAGAGUAUAAUUGGUGCAACAAAUCCAAAUUGCAAGUACCAUGCCUUGAAUAUGGGUGGGUGGAAAGGCAUCAGCCCCUUCCCACCACUAGGCUAUGCCUUAGUCUGCUAAUUAAUUGCAAGCAAGUGUGGGCAAAGCAGGAAUUGGACAAGAGAUAAAUGGGAUGAAUUUUGGGCAUUAAGUGAAGCGUGCGAAGUCGAACCAAACCAAAUGAUGUACGAACCUACCAUCAUGACCGCGAACUCUCCCUUUAGGAGUAGUGACUAGUAGAAUGCCCGUACGUUGCUAUGGGCUACAAUGCAUAUACUUUGGGAAGCAUCUCUGGUCUAAACUCCUAAUCCGGUAAUGCCCCUCAAUCUAGUAUGUUACACCCACUACUUUUUAAAAUUUACUCCUUUGUUAUUUUGGUUGUUGGUAUAUGAUGAAGAAAAUUUUGAGCUACGAAAUAAAAUUCACUAAUUAGACAUGCAAGACAUUGGUAUAAAGAAUGAUUGCUUACAUAAUUUUUGGAACAUGUGUUGACACACAUAUCCAUUUAAAAAAGAACAAUAUUUAUGUUUAAAAAAUUCGAAAGUGUGCACAAUUCAUGAAUGUAUGCGGUUAACAUGUAAUUGUGAAAUAAAAAAAGGUUUAUAGGAAGCUCGCUUUGUGCUCUCAGGGUGGCGGCGGCUGGGUUGAUCCAUCUAUGCUCGUCCAGCCAUCUGCUGUGUUACUACUCCCAUGAUGUAAAUAAUGCAUGGAUAUGAAGAUGAUGGUACGAGGGUUAUCAAUCAUGUGAAGACUCUUCCCGCAACUUCUUCUAGACCGGACCGACCCUAGGCAUGCUCCUUGGGCACCUCCUUUGAGGACGCAUGACAGCGACCAAAUCAACCCUGUGACGUGUUGUUGUUUCAAAGGAUGUCAGCCCGAUAGUGCAAUAGGCAGCGAAUCAUCAUUGAGGGGGACCGGUUCGGAAGGAGGACGACCUUUUUUUUGCGUGAUGCAACUAUGCAAGGGAGGUGGGCUUUCUGGUGCGUAUUAGGAGGUGGUGGUUGAUGGGUUUUUCGUGGAGUGGGGGGUCAAGGGGAGUUGUGUUGGACGUACCACGUAUAGUACCCAACUCCCAUUUAAUAGUAGAGACAUGGCUGAAAAAACUUCGGAUUAUUAGUUAUGUGCAUCCCUAAUUAAGUGUCUGACUAAUUAAUUAAUUGCAUUAACAGCUCGAUUCUAAAAUUGAUUUGUCAAAAAAUACCUACUUAAAUAGACUUAAUUAAUUGCACAUGUAAAUAAUUACUUGGCUAAUUAAUUGCAUUAUGACUUGAUUCCCAAACUAAUUUGGUGACUGGUUUCCAAAUUAGUAUUAUUAUUAUUUCUUUUUUCUUGAGGCAAGGGAGGUGGGUUUUCUUGUGCGUAUGAAGAGGUGGUGGCAAAUGGGUUUAUAGUAGGCGGGAUCAAGGGGAGUUGAGUUGGACAUACCACGUAUAGUCCCCAAUUCCCAUUUAAUAGUAGAGACAUGGUUGAAAAAACUUUCUAUUGUUAGUUAUGUGCAUCCCUAAUUAAGUGUCUGACCAAUUAAUUAACUGCAUUAAUGUCUCAGUUCUCAACUUGAUUUGUCACAAAAAAUACCUACUUAAACAGACUUAACUAAUUGCACAUCUAAUUAAUUAGCUGGCUAAUUAAUUGCAUUAUGACUUGAUUUGCAACUGAUUUAGUGAUUGGUUUCCAAAUAAUUAUUUUUCUUUUUUCUUGAGGCAAGGGAGGUGGGUUUUCUUGUGCGCGUGGGGAGGUGGGAGCGGAUGGGUUUUUUCAUAAGGGGAUUUAGGGUUUAAUAGCAAUGAUAAAUUUGAAAGAACUUCCUACUAUUAAUUAUUUGUAUCCCUAAUUAUGUGUCUUGCUAAUUAAUUAAUUACAUUAAUGGCUUGAUUUCAUACAUAAUCUGGUGCAAAGAAUCCAUUCUUAAACAGACAUAAUUAAUUGCAUUAAUGGCUUGAUUUCCAAAUUGAUUUGAUGCUUGGUUUCCAAAUUGGUUUGCAUUAUUGACUAGUGAUGCCUUCCAUAAUUAAUGUGAAUUUCCCAUUUAAGGCUCGAUAAUGCUUUCCAUAGUUAAUGUGAUACUCGUGCCCAAAGAACAAUACUCUUCGUAAUUAACGUGAACCUUUUGUUCAAUACUCGAUGAUACUUUUUAUAAUUAUCGUGCUAUACAAAUAAUAAUACACUUUAUAAUUAAAGUGAUCCUACUUUCAAACGCUCGACAAUGUUUUCCAUAGUUAGCAUGAUCCUCUUGUCCAAAUAAUGGGGUUCUUUUUCCCAAAGAAUGAUACUCUUCAUAUCAGUAUGGUCCUUCCAUCCAAUGCUCAAUUAUACUUUUCAAACUAAAUAGCCAUAUUAACUGUCUGCCUAAUUAACACACAUCAUUAAUCGAUCUUGCUAAAUAACUGCAUGCAAGUAUGGGCAUAUCAGGAAUUGGGCAUGAGAUAAAUGAUAUGAAUUUUGGGCAUUAAUGGAUGUGUGUGAAAUCAAGCCAAACCAAACGAUGUAUGAACCUACCAUCAUGACCGCGAACUCCCCCUUUAGGAGUUGAGACUAGUAGAAUGCCUGUGCGUUGCUAUGGGCUACAAUGCAUAUACUUAAGGAAGCAUCUCUGGUCUGAACUCCGAAACCAGUUAUGCCCCUCAAUCUAUUAUGUUACAUGUACUACUUUUUUUAAAUGUACUCUUUUGUUAUUUUUGUUGUUAAUAUAUCAGGAAAAAAAUUUGAGCCAAUUUUUUCCCGUUAAUUAGACAUGCAUGACGUUGGUAUCAAGAAAGAUUGCUUCCAUAAGUUUUGGAACGUGUGCUGAUACACAUAUCUACUUAAAAAAGAACAAGAUUUAUAUUAACAAAAAUCUGAGAGCUUGCACAAUUCAUGAAUGCAUGCGAUUAACAUGUAAAUGUGAAAGGAAAAAGGUCUAUAGGAAGCUCGCUUUGUGCUCUCAUGGUGGUGGUGGCUGGGUUGAUCCAUCUAUGUUCGUCUGGUUGUCUGCUGCAGCACUCGUCCCAUGAUGUAAAUAAUGCUUGGAUGGGAAGAUGAUGGUACGAGGGACAUCUAUCAUGUGAAGACUAUUCCUAUAAUUGCCUCUCGGCCAGACCGACCCUCAAGCAUGCUCCUUGGGCACCUCCUCUGAGUGCGCAUGGCGGAGACCGGAUUAACCCUGAGGCGUGUCGUUGUUUCAGAGGAUGUUAACCCGACAGUGUGGUAAGCAGCAGAUCAUCGUUGAGGGGGAGGGGUUUGGGAGGAGGAUGUUCUAUUCCUCAUUUUUUUUGUGUUAGGCAAGGGAGGUGGGUUUUCUUGUGCGUAUGAGGAGGUGGUGGCGG